GGAGACGUGGCCGAGUGACUGAAGGCGCUUCCCUGCUAAGGAAGUAUACGGGGUAGACCCGUAUCGUGGGUUCGAAUCCCACCGUCUCCGCCA
rnacentral:tRNA from 1 species